rnacentral:ncRNA from 1 species
AAAAAGUUUUAUUUUAGCUUAAAAUUUAAUUAUUUAAUUUAAAUGUAUGUAAAUUUUUGUGUUUUAAAAAAUAUAAUUUGCAGUAUUUAAUUUUAAAUUUUAAAGUAAUUUAGAUUUAGGAAUUUAAUUUAAUAUGGAUAAAAUUUGUGCCAGCAGUCGCGGUUAUACAAAUUAUAUAAGUUAAAUUUAUUUAAUUUAAUUAAAUGAGAAGUUAUUUAGUUUUAUUAAUGAUUUAUUAGGUGAAAUUUUAAAUUUUUAAAAAUUAUUAAUUUGCUUUUGAAGUUAAGAAAUUUUGUUUUAAACUAGGAUUAGAUACCCUAUUAUUAAAAAUGUGGAUUUGUAAUUAAAAUUAUUAUGAGUUAAGGUCUUUAAAAUUAAAAAUUUUGGCGGUAUUUUAGUCUAUUCAGAGGAACCUGUUUUUUAAUUGAUAAUCCACGAUUUUAAAUACUUUAUUUAUUAAUUUAUAUAUCGUCGUAGGAUAAGUAUUUUAUUAGAAUAAUAAUAUUUAGGAUAUAAUAUUAAAUAGAAAUUCAGAUCAAGGUGUAGUUUAUAUUAAAGUUAAAAUGGGUUACAAUAAAUUUAUUUUUAGUAUUUAUUUUUUAAUAUUUAAGUUAAAUUGGAUUUGAUAGUAAUUUUUUAUAAUUAUAAAAAGUGAUUUUGCUCUAAAAUAUGUACAUAUUGCCCGUCGCUUUCAUAUAAAAUGAAAUAAGUCGUAACAAAGUAGACUUAUUGGAAAAUGAGUCUGGAAUGAU